GAUGAACGCUGGCGGCGUGCCUAAUACAUGCAAGUCGAGCGAACAGACGAGGAGCUUGCUCCUCUGACGUUAGCGGCGGACGGGUGAGUAACACGUGGAUAACCUACCUAUAAGACUGGGAUAACUUCGGGAAACCGGAUCUAAUACCGGAUAAUAUAUCGAACCGCAUGGUUCAAUAGUGAAAGACGGUUUUGCUGUCACUUAUAGCUGGUUCCGGGCCGCAUUAGCUAGUUGGUAAGGUAACGGCUUACCAAGGCAACGAUGCGUAGCCGACCUGAGAGGGUGAUCGGCCACACUGGAACUGAGACACGGUCCAGACUCCUACGGGAGGCAGCAGUAGGGAAUAUUCCGCAAUGGGCGAAAGCCUGACGGAGCAACGCCGCGUGAGUGAUGAAGGUCUUCGGGUCGUAAAACUCUGUUAUUAGGGAAGAAAAAAUGCAUAAGUAACUAUGGCCGUUUUGACGGUACCUAAAGAGAAAGCAACGGCUAACUUCGUG
rnacentral:rRNA from 1 species